UGACUUGCUCUUGAGCUGAAAGCAGGGUUGUGUUUUAACUGUAGAUUUUCAGUGUUUUAUUUAUUUGCAUGUCUUUUGAAAAUUACAUUUUUUUCUUCAUUCUAAUCAUGAUAAAGUAACAGAAGUUGUGGUGAUGGUGAACCAUGCAUGUGCAUGCUGUUCAUGGUGAUUAUUACUCACACUGUGUGAUUUGAGCUGAUUCUCCAGUUGUGCACAGCCUUUUCAGACUUAUUCAUUCUACCUAUGAUACCAGAUAAUAUUUCACAAUAAUGCAUCAUGUCCUCUGAUUCUCUCCUGCUUUAGUGCUGAUUGUGCUCAUCCACUGUGGACAAACUCAAGAUAAACCCAGACUGAGUGUGGAUCCUCAGAGCUCAGUCUAUACUGGAGACACAGUUACUCUGAGCUGUGAGCCGCCGUAUCAGGCUAACUGGAACUUUUUCUGGAAGAAAGACUCUGAUUGGGUACAACCACCUCAUCAUCUGAAAACAUACAGUAUAACAGUGUCUAAUCCAGGAGAAGCAGAAUAUAAGUGUAUAGCAAAGAGGGGAGACUAUCAGUCAGAGGACAGUAAUCCCAUCAGGAUUACAGUGAGAGAGAGACCAAAAGCUACAGUGAAAGUCCAGCCAGCUGAUCAUGUGUUCAUCAGAGAGAGAGUCACUCUGACAUGUCAAAUAGAAAGUGGAGAUGACUGGAAUUAUGAAUG